UACGUAGGGUGCAAGCGUUGUCCGGAUUUAUUGGGCGUAAAGAGCUCGUAGGCGGUUUGUCGCGUCGGAUGUGAAAACCCAGGGCUCAACCCUGGGCCUGCAUUCGAUACGGGCAGACUAGAGUAUGGCAGGGGAGACUGGAAUUCCUGGUGUAGCGGUGAAAUGCGCAGAUAUCAGGAGGAACACCAGUGGCGAAGGCGACUGUCUGGACAGAUACUGACGCUGAGGCGCGAAAGCGUGGGGAGCAAACAGG
rnacentral:rRNA from 1 species